rnacentral:rRNA from 1 species
AUGAACGCUGGCGGCGUGCCUAAUACAUGCAAGUCGAACGCUGGAGAUCUAGCUUGCUAGAUCGAAGGAGUGGCGAACGGGUGAGUAAUACAUAAGCAACCUACCCACGAAGACUGGGAUAAUCUCUGGAAACGGGGACUAAUACCGGAUAGGUAAUCGGAAGGCAUCUUCUGGUUAUUAAAGGUUAAAAACACUGGUGGAUGGGCUUAUGGCGCAUUAGUUAGUUGGUGAGGUAACGGCCCACCAAGACGAUGAUGCGUAGCCGGCCUGAGAGGGUGAACGGCCACAUUGGGACUGAGACACGGCCCAGACUCCUACGGGAGGCAGCAGUAGGGAAUGUUCGGCAAUGGGGGCAACCCUGACCGAGCAACGCCGCGUGAGUGAAGACGGCCUUCGGGUUGUAAAGCUCUGUUGUAAGGGAAGAACGGUAGAUAGAGAAUAUCUAAGUGACGGUACCUUACCAGAAAGCCACGGCUAACUACGUG